ACAGACACAGAAGUUUGUGCCUCUAUACUUACGAGGACCCUCACUGACAUUAACUAACUUUCCCCUGUUUCUUCCAUCUUACCUUCUGUUGCUUUCUUUUCUUUCUCUCUUUUAUUUUAUGUCUGUUUUUUUGUAACUUUCGCUUUCUUUCUCUCCAAUAGGUCAUCUGCACUCUUUGGCUGCAGUCCAAUAGUCCUUUUUAAUUAGGAGGGUUUCUGAGUGAAAUGCCCACAGCCUUAGGCCCAGUCCCACUAUUCUCCCUAAGGCCUCAACCCUGAAACCUCACAGACUUAACUGACAUCACCAAGUAAGUGAGUCUAAAUAGGAAUGAGACAACAUUUUAAUUACCUUGUUACCUUGACAACGCCAUAUUUCCUACUAUUGUGGGAUUACAGAAUGGACAAAAUAUAAUUAUCAAAUAAAUAACGUCCUUUAGUUUGUCAUGCAUUCCUCUGAUAUCAUUUGUUUUUUAGUGGUCACCUGUGAGCAUGUGUGCUUACAUGUAAACUUUUGGUUGCUUUUUCCGUGCUUGUUUGUUUACCACUUCCGGGUUUCACCUGGUAACCCCAUGUUUAACGUCACAACGCUAAAGCCUUUCACAGUUUGACAGAGGGAGAGCCCUCGUGGUUUAAACGGGAGCGCGCCUCCUCCUGAAAACGCCACGUGAACGUGCCAUGAAAGCGACUCAACAAAGCCCGAAUCUCAUCCGGGAACGUGAGGGAGGCCGCUGCUGUCGAGUGAGUUGUAGAAGUAGUUCUUUGAACUACCAGUCAGAUGUUGGAGGACUGAGUGAUGGCGAGCCCAGUCUGUGAAACUGUAGACCAUAAUGGAGGCAGCUCGAUUCACUCAUUCGGACAGGAGGUAAGAGCAUGUGCACACUAAUAGCUAUACUCAGGAAGCAGUAGGAGAACAUUUAACACACACACACUUUACAAGAACAGGAACUGCACUCUUGAAUCUUAUUAUUGAUAACACUCUAUUUUACGCCUCUGCACUGUCGAUGGCCUUGGCUGGAGGCAUUAUGUUUUCUGGUUGUCUGUCUGUUCGUCCAUCUCAUUCUCCAUAUUCAUGUUCGUCCAUAUUCAGGUUAGAAUUUGGUGGUCAAAGGUCACUGUAACCUCACAAAACUUAUAUCUUAAAAUCAUUUUUGAAGGUAACUUUCUUUAAUUGUUUUCUUUGAUGCAGUCCUCUUUCCUCCUUUCUCACUCCCUCUGUUUUUACU